rnacentral:rRNA from 1 species
UACGAAGGGGGCUAGCGUUGCUCGGAAUCACUGGGCGUAAAGGGUGCGUAGGCGGGUUCUUAAGUUAGAGGUGAAAGCCCGGGGCUCAACCCCGGAAUUGCCUUUAAGACUGCAUCGCUUGAAUCCGGGAGAGGUGAGUGGAAUUCCGAGUGUAGAGGUGAAAUUCGUAGAUAUUCGGAAGAACACCAGUGGCGAAGGCGGCUCACUGGACCGGUAUUGACGCUGAGGUGCGAAAGCGUGGGGAGCAAACAGG